UACGUAGGGUGCAAGCGUUGUCCGGAAUUAUUGGGCGUAAAGAGCUUGUAGGCGGUUUGUCGCGUCUGCUGUGAAAUUUCGGGGCUCAACCCCGAACUUGCAGUGGGUACGGGCAGACUAGAGUGAUGUAGGGGAGACUGGAAUUCCUGGUGUAGCGGUGAAAUGCGCAGAUAUCAGGAGGAACACCGAUGGCGAAGGCAGGUCUCUGGGCCAUAACUGACGCUGAGAAGCGAAAGCAUGGGGAGCGAACAGG
rnacentral:rRNA from 1 species